rnacentral:lncRNA from 1 species
GCUGUGGUGAAUACUUUAACGAAGAGAUACAUGUAUCAUUUACUGUUGUACGUAGAGUUGAACUCCUACAAAAUCAGUUGCCCCACGAGAAAUUGCCUUAAAAAGUGACAUUUCAAUUUUGAAAUGGUUUUAUUUACAGACCUACAAGUUCAAAUUUAGUUUUUUUUAGGGCAAUGGGUAUGAAUGUUGUUUUUGGCGGCGUGUACGC